rnacentral:misc_RNA from 1 species
CUUCGAACGCACAUUGCGGUCUUCGGAUACUGUUCCUGGACCACUCCUGGCUGAGGGUCGUUUCAACUUCCACGACUGCCGGGCGUGCAAUGCACCGCUAGUACGGUGCUCGCGCCGCCGAGGCAAAUAUAUGGCCGUUCGCGAGACGCCGUAAGAUCGUUCGUUAGGUACACAGCCCCGCACUUGUACGGAGGCGGCCGAACGUCCGUUCUAAAGCUUAUCGCGUCGGUUUAAAUUACCGCCAAUAUAAUAAGGUUCGCGGCGAACAGCGUAUGUUGUGUUAUAUACGCCCGUCGGAACUCGACUGUGGUCGACGUGUCAGAGACAAAACCGAGGAUGAAAUGCUUGGCAUAUUCGAUAUCCCGAGUUUUGCGUUGCGGGGAACGGGUGUCGUCGUAUUAGUCCGAUGUUCGGGUUCAGCGAUAAAAUACGUUGUUGUACGAUGACCAUGAAGUCCGUCGUCUCAUCGUUAAUUAUGUCGCGAUAACUUACGUUGACAGACGACAGAUAGCCACGUUUAACCAACCGACGUCAGAUCUAUCGGUUCGACAUUCGCUGCGGCGGUCCCCCCGUCUUAACUCUCGUCGCCCAUCGAAGCGACGGACGGACGGACGGACGGACGGACGACCGCGCGAAUAACGGGUGUGCCGUUUGUGUGACCGAAGGC